rnacentral:rRNA from 1 species
GACGAACGCUGGCGGCGUGCUUAACACAUGCAAGUCGAACGGGCCUUGUCCCCUUUUUUUGGGGGUGGGGUUAGUGGCGAACGGGUGAGUAACACGUGAGUAACCUGCCCCUCACUUCUGGAUAACCGCUUGAAAGGGUGGCUAAUACGGGGUGUUCUGGCCUGCUCGCAUGGGUGGGUUUGGAAAGAUUCGACCGGUUUUGGUUGUUUUGGCGGGGGAUGGGCUCGCGGCCUAUCAGCUUGUUGGGGGGGGGAUGGCCUGCCAAGGCUUUGACGGGUAGCCGGCCUGAGAGGGUGGGCGGUCACACUGGGACUGAGACACGGCCCAGACUCCUACGGGAGGCAGCAGUGGGGAAUAUUGCACAAUGGGCGCAAGCCUGAUGCAGCGACGCCGCGUGAGGGAUGGAGGCCUUCGGGUUGUGAACCUCUUUCGCCAGUGAAGAAGGUCCUGCUCUUUGUGGUGGGGUUGACGGUAGCGGGGUUAAUGAAGCGCCGGCUAACUACGUG